GCCAGACUCCUACGGGAGGCAGCAGUGGGGAAUAUUGCACAAUGGGGGAAACCCUGACCCAGCAACGCCGCGUGAAGGAAGAAGGCUUUCGGGUUGUAAACUUCUUUUAAGAGGGAAGAGUAGAAGACGGUACCUCUUGAAUAAGCCACGGCUAACUACGUGCCAGCAGCCGCGGGAAUACGUAGGUGGCAAGCGUUGUCCGGAUUUACUGGGUGUAAAGGGCGUGUAGCCGGGCCGGCAAGUCAGAUGUGAAAUCCCAAGGCUCAACCUUGGAACUGCAUUUGAAACUGUUGGUCUUGAGUAUCGGAGAGGCAGGCGGAAUUCCUAGUGUAGCGGUGAAAUGCGUAGAUAUUAGGAGGAACACCAGUGGCGAAGGCGGCCUGCUGGACGACAACUGACGGUGAGGCGCGAAAGCGUGGGGAGCAAACAGGAUUAGAUACCCCAGUACUC
rnacentral:rRNA from 1 species